rnacentral:rRNA from 1 species
GUCGGGAGUCUUGCACAAUGGGGGAAACCCUGAUGCAGCGACGUCGCGUGUGGGAUGAAGUAUUUCGGUAUGUAAACCACUUUUGCGGGGGGCGAAAAAAAUGACGGUACCCCGCGAAUAAGCCCCGGCUAACUACGUGCCAGCAGCCGCGGUAAUACGUAGGGGGCGAGCGUUGCUCGGAUUGACUGGGCGUAAAGCGCGCGUAGGCGGUCCAUUAAGUGUGCGGUGAAAUUCGGAGGCUCAACCUCCGUCCCGCCGCGCAAACUGAUGGUCUUGAGAUUGGGAGGGGGAUGCGGAAUUCCUGGUGUAGCGGUGAAAUGCAUUGAUAUCAGGAGGAACACCGGCGGCGAAAGCGGCAUCCUGGCUUAUAUCUGACGCUGAGGCGCGAAAGCGUGGGUAGCAAACGGGAUUAGAUACCCUUGUAGUCC